rnacentral:rRNA from 1 species
AUUGAACGCUGGCGGCAGGCCUAACACAUGCAAGUCGAGCGAUCGGCGGACGGGUGAGUAAUGUCUGGGAAACUGCCUGAUGGAGGGGGAUAACUACUGGAAACGGUAGCUAAUACCGCAUACCCUCAGAUGUGCCCAGAUGGGAUUCGCUGGUAGGUGGGGUAACGGCUCACCUAGGCGACGAUCCCUAGCUGGUCUGAGAGGAUGACCAGCCACACUGGAACGGAGACACGGGCCAGACUCCUACGUGAGGCAGCAGUGGGGAAUAUUGCACAAUGGGCGCAAGCCUGAUGCAGCCAUGCCGCGUGUGUGAAGAAGGCCUUCGGGUUGUAAAGCACUUUCAGCGGGGAGGUGUUACCCGCAGAAGAAGCACCGGCUAACUCCGUGCCAGCAGCCGCGGUAAUUC